GGCCAGCUCUUGCAGAGUCCACCUCCCACUGGGAAUGAGUCUGCCCCAAUGAUCGUUGUCAUUCUUACGGUGUACAUUUUAGGACAUCGUCAGGUCUCAAGAAAAAAGUUGUCAGGUAUCAGACAAAAAAUUAUCAGGUCUUAGUUCUCAAGAAAAAAAGUUGUCAGGUAUCAGACAAAAAAUUAUCAGGUCUCAAUUCUCAAGAAAAAAAGUUGUCAGGUAUCAGACAAAAAAUUGUCAGGUCUCAGUUCUCAAGAAAAAAGUUGUCAGGUAUCAGACAAAAAAUUGUCAGGUCUCAGUUCUCAAGAAAAAAGUUGUCAGGUAUCAGACAAAAAAAACGUCAGGUCUCAGUUCUCAAG
ensembl:lncRNA